ensembl:lncRNA
UUUCCUUCUCCAAUGCAUGAAAGUGAAAAGUGAAGGUGAAGUCGCUCAGUCGUGCCCGACUCAGCGACCCCUUGGACUGCAGCCUACCGGGCUCCUCCGUCCAUGGGAUUUUCCAGCAAGAGUACUGGAGUGAGUAGACUGCUAGAUUUUGUAAAUAAAACCAGGACGCCUAGUUAAGGUUGAAUUUCAGAUAAACACCAACUACUUUUUUAGAAUGCCAAUCUCAAGUUCAGAUUUUACCUGUGCCUCUGAUUACCAGCUAUAACUUGGAGGUUCGAUCCCUGAUCCAGGAAGAUUCUGCAGGCUGCUGGGCAACUAAGCCCGUGCUCCACAGCUACUGAGCCCACAUGCCAUAACCACUGAAGUCUGAAUGCCUAAAGCCUCUGCUCCACAACAAGAGAAGCCACCUUAAUAAGAAGUUCAUGCACCACAACUAGAGAAAGCCCGCGAGCAGCAAAGAAGACCUAGCACAGCCAAAACCAAAAAUAAAUAAUUAAAAAUAAAGGAUCUCUGCCCUCCUCUUAUUUGCCUAAAAGCAGGACAGAAAGGUGUUCCUGCUCCUCUCUCUACUAGGAAGGACAGAAAACUCUUGACCUUAUGAGCCCAGAGAGGGCACCAGAGGAAUCUACACAACGAACUUUACUAACUAGCCCUUAUUUUUCAUUAAUGCUUCAUAUGUUUACUUGCUCAACUUCAUGUAUUUACUCACAACUUGCUUUGAAUAUCUAAACUCAAAGUUGUUUUCCUCUGUCUUGUUACUUCUCUAAAAGUUUAUUGCUUUCUUGGGUUAAGAUACUACUGUUAAAAACAAGACAAGAAUACUGGAGUAGCUUGUUGUACUAUUAGGUAAUCUGUCUGAUAGAUCCCUGCCAUCCCCUAAAAGGAUUUCCCUGGUGGUUCAGACAGUAAAGCAUCUGCCUACAAUGCGGGAGACCUGGGUUUGAUCCCUGGGUCAGGAAGAUCCUCUGGAGAAGGAAAUGGCACCCCACUCCAGUACUCUUGCCUG